ACCCUUGGGGAUUUGGAGCAUGUCCGUACCCCAUCUGGAUCCUUUGUACUCUCCCGGACCCACCACCACGCCCCCCCCGUCCUGGUCCUUGGGCCUCCCUGGCCGCUUCGGACUCUACCUCCCUAUUUCCAGCCGUCUGUCUUUUCUUUGGCUGUCAAAACUAUUUUUCCUUUGGGUGUCUCCUGUUGGAGAACCCCCUGUCAUAUUUAUACCUCCGCAGUUCAUUGUUUUACUUAUAAUUAUGACCUCAGUAGCCAUCCACCUUGCCAUCAGUGUCUGCAGUUCAUCUCUCCUCAUGGUUCAGCAGUAUUCCUUGUGUACGUUUACCACCUUUUCAUCGUCCGUUCGUCUUCGAUGGGCAUAGGGACCACUUCCAUAUUUUACCUAUCUGUAAGGCUUGUGCUAGCCUCAGUGUCUCAGUUUACUUUCUGUUUGCUUGAGCAAAAUCUCUGACACAGAUGAAAGGAGGAAAGGUUUAUUUUGACUGACAGUUUGUUGAUGUUUCGAUCCAUAGUUGGCUGGUUCUAAGGCAAGAUGGCGUGGUUGAAAAGAAAGAGUUCAUGGCUAGGCAGGCAGCUUCACCUCCCAGCAUGAGACCCAGACAGAAACCCAUCCGUGCACUAGCCCCGGUAUGACAGGCCCGAUCCAGUCACUUCCCACACGCACGGCCUCUGAGCAGAGAAGGCUUUGGGGGGACAUCUAGAUGACCUGAAUCCACCUGGAACCAAGAGGAAGUGGCGUGGGAGUCCGUUUCCGCCUGGUACCUGGAGGGCGGAGACAGUGCCACCAAUUACCUGGCACACAGUGUAGAUGAAAGUUAUUUGACCUUUUCCACAUGGCGCAACUUCUCAGCGUUCCCCGAGCCUGCCUGGAGUCCGGGCUUCCCAGGACCUGAGUCCACCUGGAAGCAAGAGGAAGUGGCGUGGGAGUCCGUUUCUGCCUGGUGAGUGUGAGGGUCACGGGCUGUGGAGGCAGAGGUGGCCUGUGAGAUCUCAGGUGCAGGGAAAAGCGGG
rnacentral:lncRNA from 1 species